ACCUGUGACCAGCUAGCUGACAUCUAAUACACGGACCACUGACAGGGCCUUGCAGAAAAUGAACCGUUAUGUCGGCAACAUUGUCUUUUGUCUUGAGACAUAUAUAUGAACGUACUUCACAUUGUUAAGAGGAACUUGGUCAUAGUGUGGGAUAUCAACAACAAAAAAACUGUUGUGAUGUCCAUUCCAUCAACUUCCUGUUUUGUGUUACGAAACAGGAAGUGAAGAAAGGGUGUGAUGUUGAGUUUGGGGUCCUCGCAGACUCACAGACUUGAUUGGAAACGAACCAAGUUGGAACAUUAUGGCGAGCGUCACUGAGGGUUCAUCUAUGGAUCAAGAUCCUACAAAUGCGUAUGAAAAUGUGACAGCCAACCAGCAGGACAACAGAGACAGCUCAGGAUUAGCUCAGCACUCAAGCAGAAGAGUCUACAGAUUAAUUGCUGUGGGUUUUGGAUCGCUGUGUGUCCUACAAGUCCUUCUUAACGUCUCUCUGCGUUUAGUCGACAACCUGAGCGAAGCGAGAGUCCAGUUGGCCUGUGAGAAAGACGUCCGCAAGAUAUGUCCCCAAGACUGGAUAAUACAGUACGGCUGCAGUUGUUAUUUCAUCUCCCUUGACACUAAAAACUGGACUGAGAGUAGACAGGACUGUCUGGACAGAGGAGCAGACCUCGUGAUCAUAAACAGCAGAGUGGAACAAGUAUUCAUCAAAACAUUGGGCCACAGAACCUGGAUCGGUCUGACUGACAGAGAAGUUGAGGGAACCUGGAGAUGGGUGGACGGGACAGGACCGACCGCAAGUUAUUGGACUACAACCAGCGAACCGAAUGGAGGAGCUGAAGAGAACUGUGCUGAGAUUAUCGGCAUUCACAAUGACCCGGUAUUGGCCUGGAAUGAUCUACCAUGUUACGAUGAACAGCGUUGGAUCUGUGAGAGGUCGUUGGUUCUGUGAGAGUUCGUUGGUUCUGUGAGAGGUCGUUGGUUCUGUGAGAGUUCGUUGGUUCUGUGAGAGUUUGUUGGUUCUGUGAGAGUUCGUUGGUUCUGUGAGAGUUUGUUGGAUCUGUGAGAGUUUGUUGGUUCUGUGAGAGUUUGUUGGUUCUGUGAGAGGUCGUUGGUUCUGUGAGAGUUUGUUCGUUCUGUGAGAGGUCGUUGGUUCUGUGAGAUUCAGCCCUAACACCUACAAUAGUAUCCACAUCCAUUCCAGAACCCACCAAACAACAUUAUUUUAAGCAAGUCACCAUUCAUUUAGGGGAAAAGCAGGUUCCGCAUUGAUAAGAGUAACGUUUUUUCUCUCUCUUUUGACUCCUUUCUCACAGGUUUUUGCAUUGCCCCCAUGCUCAUUUAACACGUGUUGAAUUCCUUUGUUGUAUAAUGACCCAGAGUCUGAAUAGUUCCAUGAAAAUCCUAAUCAAUCCUAUAUGUUAAAACACUUGUAAGAACUUUAUAUGGUCACUGAUAGUGUUUUCUAAUGGUCUCCCGACAUUAUAUUGUGAUAUGUAUGCAUUUCAGUAAUUUAUGGACUUAUCUGUUGAUUUGUGAACACUGUACUGUACAUUUUACUCAGGGGUACAACUUUCACUGGGGACAGGGGGGGACAUGCCCCCCCCCACCACCCAGUUUUAAUCAUUGGAAUGUGAUAUAAAACGAGGCAACGGUGUGCUUUAGGACCAUGCAGACACCUCCGAGCCGUCUGGUAGGCUGUUUGGAGUGCUUACCCAACUGAAUAAAACUAUUUUUUAACAUGUUUAAAAAAAAAAAAAAAUUAAGUUAUGCCCCUCCCACUUCAAAAACCAAAGUUGCGCCCCUGAUUUUACUACACGUCGUCAUUGGGCUAGCAUGGCUAUUCGUGCCCCCUUUUCGUUAUUCAUUUGUACUUUACAGAGGAUGUGGUGCUUUAGGGCAGCACAACGUUUGUUUUUGGAAGUUAUUAUUGUAAUUAUCAGCUAUGUCAUGUGUUUUUGUUAAGAUAUUUUGACAAUAUUUUACUGUUCUUUAAGAGCACAUCAUGUACUGUAAAUGUACUUAACACCUGGCUGUAAUGAAGAACGUUGUCAGGCUGAGGCCUAUAGGCUACUGGAUAUUUACAUUUAAAACUGUACAUUUCAUUUAUAAUUACAUUUUUAUGUGAAACAA